rnacentral:lncRNA from 1 species
CUAAACUUCAUAACUGUAAAGUGAGGUCUUUUAAUGAAUAUUAGGUAUCUGUGUUGCAAAAUAGCUUAAGAUCAUACAGAGUCUUGACAACUGUACCAUUCAUUGGCUUAGAAGAAGAAAAUGAGGUGUGAGCUCUUCAUUUCUGUCUGAAAUAGCAUCAUCACCAAGAUACGCCAUGGCUGCAAUGCACUUGGAAACAUCAGAAAUAGGUUGACUUGUCAGCGGGACAGUUGAGAGGACCUCUGCGGCAGGGAGGUAAAAGAAGACCACAGAAACUGAUGGUAUUAAGU